rnacentral:rRNA from 1 species
AUUGAACGCUGGCGGCAUGCCUUACACAUGCAAGUCGAACGGCAGCACGGGUGCUUGCACCUGGUGGCGAGUGGCGAACGGGUGAGUAAUACAUCGGCACAUGUCCUGUAGUGGGGGAUAGCCCGGCGAAAGCCGGAUUAAUACCGCAUACGAUCUACGGAUGAAAGCGGGGGACCUUCGGGCCUCGCGCUAUAGGGUUGGCCGAUGGCUGAUUAGCUAGUUGGUGGGGUAAAGGCCUACCAAGGCGACGAUCAGUAGCUGGUCUGAGAGGACGACCAGCCACACUGGGACUGAGACACGGCCCAGACUCCUACGGGAGGCAGCAGUGGGGAAUUUUGGACAAUGGGCGAAAGCCUGAUCCAGCAAUGCCGCGUGUGUGAAGAAGGCCUUCGGGUUGUAAAGCACUUUUGUCCGGAAAGAAAUCCUUGGCCCUAAUACGGUCGUGUGAUGACGGUACCGGAAGAAUAAGCACCGGCUAACUACGUG